GGGCAGCAGGAUGGAAAAGACAUCAGUCACAACAGUGACACAGAGGGAGCCGUCUGGCCCGGGGGAAACAAACCGAGAUGACUCUGACAAAAGCCGCCCCUCCUGCGGCGCUGGAUGUGAAGCUGAUUGUGUGGUUAGUUCACUCAGUGGGCCGGAGAGAGAAAAGGCUGUAGCUGCUAGGUGGGUGGAUGACAGGCGUCCGUCAGAAGACCUGAGAUGCGUUUGGUUUUCAGUGGGAGAAGUUAUUACCACGGCCGUGCGUUCGCUGUCAAGGAACAAAUUUUGGAAUCACCAAAAUAG
ensembl:lncRNA